CUAAGUACAUGCCGUAUCAAGGCGAAACCGCGAAUGGCUCAUUAUAUCAGUUAUGGUUCCCAAGAUCGUACUUUACUACUUGGAUAACUGUGGUAAUUCUAGAGCUAAUACAUGCAGCAGAGCUCCGACCGCGAGGGACGAGCGCUUUUAUUAGACCAAAAUCAAACGGACCUCGUGUCCGUUAAAUGUGGUGACUCUGUAUAACUUUGUCUGAUCGCACGGGCUUGUCCCGGCGACGUAUCUUUCAAGUGUCUGCCUUAUCAACUGUCGAUGGUAGGUUAUGCGCCUACCAUGGUCGUAACGGGUGACGGGGGAUCAGGGUUCGAUCCCGGAGAGGGAGCCUGAGAAACGGCUACCACAUCCAAGGAAGGCAGCAGGCGCGCAAAUUACCCACUCCCGGCACGGGGAGGUAGUGACGAAAAAUAACAAUACAAGACUCUUUUGAGACCUUGUAAUUGGAAUGAGUACACUCUAAGUCCUUUAACGAGGAUCCAUUGGAAGGCAAGUCCGGUGCCAGCAGCUGCGGUAACUCCAGCUCCAAUAGCGUAUAUUAAAGUUGUUGCGGUUAAAAAGCUCGUAGUUGGAUCUCAGUUACGGACGGGUGGUCUACCUACCGGUAGUUACUGCCCGGUCCGAACAAUGCCGUCGGUUUCUCUUGAUGAUCUUCACCGGUUGUCUUGGGAGAUCCGACAAGUUUACUUUGAAAAAAUUAGAGUGCUCAAAGCAUGCGUGAUGCAUGAAUAAUGGUGCAUGGAAUAAUGGAAUAGGACCUCGGUUCUGUUUUGUUGGUUUUCGGAACACGAGGUAAUGAUUAAGAGGGACAGACGGGGGCAUUCGUAUUGCGACGCUAGAGGUGAAAUUCUUGGACCGUCGCAAGACGAACUACUGCGAAAGCAUUUGCCAAGAAUGUU
rnacentral:rRNA from 1 species